GAUGAACGCUGGCGGCGUGCUUAACACAUGCAAGUCGAACGAAGAUGCCGGAGUGCUUGCACUUUGGCAGACUGAGUGGCGGACGGGUGAGUAACGCGUGGGUAACCUGCCUUAUACAGGGGGAUAACAGUUGGAAACGACUGCUAAUACCGCAUAAGCGCACGGUAUCGCAUGAUACAGUGUGAAAAACUCCGGUGGUAUAAGAUGGACCCGCGUUGGAUUAGCUAGUUGGUGAGGUAACGGCCCACCAAGGCGACGAUCCAUAGCCGACCUGAGAGGGUGACCGGCCACAUUGGGACUGAGACACGGCCCAAAACUCCUACGGGAGGCAGCAGUGGGGAAUAUUGCACAAUGGGCGAAAGCCUGAUGCAGCGACGCCGCGUGAGCGAAGAAGUAUUUCGGUAUGUAAAGCUCUAUCAGCAGGGAGAUAAUGACGGUACUGACUAAGAAGCACCGGCUAAAUACGUGCCAGCAGCCGUA
rnacentral:rRNA from 1 species